rnacentral:rRNA from 1 species
AGUGAACGCUGGCGGUAGGCCUAACGCAUGCAAGUCGAACGGCAGCACAGUAAGAGCUUGCUCUUACGGGUGGCGAGUGGCGGACGGGUGAGGAAUACAUCGGAAUCUACUUUUUCGUGGGGGAUAACGUAGGGAAACUUACGCUAAUACCGCAUACGACCUACGGGUGAAAGCAGGGGAUCUUCGGACCUUGCGCGAUUGAAUGAGCCGAUGUCGGAUUAGCUAGUUGGCGGGUAAAGGCCCACCAAGGCGACGAUCCGUAGCUGGUCUGAGAGGAUGAUCAGCCACACUGGAACUGAGACACGGUCCAGACUCCUACGGGAGGCAGCAGUGGGGAAUAUUGGACAAUGGGCGCAAGCCUGAUCCAGCCAUACCGCGUGGGUGAAGAAGGCCUUCGGGUUGUAAAGCCCUUUUGUUGGGAAAGAAAAGCAGCAGGUUAAUACCCCGCUGUUCUGACGGUACCCAAAGAAUAAGCACCGGCUAACUUCGUG